GCUGCCUUGCACUUAGGGAAGGUUCACAUGCCUCAGGGAUCUCUCUCUCUCAGAUUUCUUGACUUUCCCUCAGUCUUCAGUAUAGUCCUCCUCUGUGCCUGGUGAAGACCUGUGGUAAAGUGCUGGCAGAGAGGAAGCUAAAUCACGUAAAAGUUAAGAAACAGCUCAGCGUUUCACAGCUAAGCUGCCGGCUUCCCCUUGAAGGAAUAGGAGUAGACCUGCUGAACUAUCACAUGAGAGAAGAGGCCCAAAAGCUUGCACACUACAGUCAAGCUGGCCCUUAAAGAGAUGGACCUAGAAGAUGCUGAGCCAGAUAUACUCAAUUACUUCUCCAAAAUCCAUCAAUUAGAACUGCUUCUUGCUGCCGCCAUAUGAAGAAGGACGUGUUUGCUUCCCCUUCCUCCAUGAUUGUAAGUUUCCUGAGACCUCGCCAGCCAUGCUGAACUGAAUACAACAUGUUUAAGACCACAGAACAUCUGCAUAGGCUGUAAAUUUCGUUAAAUGAUGGAUGCAAAGAUGGAAGACAGAUGGAUAGAGAAAAAGACAGAAUCAGAUACUGGAUGAGUUAGUACUGCUGCUUGUGCUUCAGAGCUGUCUUAUUACCACAAGGCCGGCAAGCAUCAAUGUCCCCACAUCCCCCUCUGCCUCCCCCUGAAAUGUACCGAUUUAUAUGAAAAUUAAGAUUACAAAUUAAAGCCUGGCUAUCCUGGAGUUUUCCAGUUCAUCAGCCAUCCAAUAAAAAUGAUGUCAAGCCUG
rnacentral:antisense_RNA from 1 species